UCGUCUCCGGUGAGGCGGCUGGACUUCAAAUCCAGUUGGGGCCGCCAGCGGUCCCGGGCAGGUUCGACUCCUGCUCCA
rnacentral:tRNA from 1 species